GACGUAGGGUGCGAGCGUUGUCCGGAUUUAUUGGGCGUAAAGAGCUCGUAGGCGGCUCGUCGCGUCGACCGUGAAAACCAGCAGCUUAACUGCUGGCUUGCGGUUGAUACGGGCGGGCUAGAGUUCGGUAGGGGAGACUGGAAUUCCUGGUGUAGCGGCGAAAUGCGCAGAUAUCAGGAGGAACACCGGUGGCGAAGGCGGGUCUCUGGGCCGAUACUGACGCUGAGGAGCGAAAGCGUGGGGAGCGAACAGG
rnacentral:rRNA from 1 species